UGGCUCUAGCAUCGAUGAAGAACGCAGCGAAAUGCGAUAAGUAAUGCGAAUUGCAGAAUUCCGCGAGUCAUCGAAUCUUUGAACGCACAUUGCGCCUGUUAGUAUUCUGAUAGGCAUGCCUGUUCGAGCGUCAUUUCAACCCUCAGGCCCGGCCUGGCGUUGGGGCUCCGCGUCUGCGGACCCUAAAAUAUAGUGGCGGGCUCGCUAUAAGCUUCAGCGCAGUAGAUUUCUUCGCUGGGAGCCUUGGCGGGCGCUUGCCGUUAAACACCCACUAUUAUCUCUGAUUGACCUCGGAUCAGGUAGGAAUACCCGCUGA
rnacentral:misc_RNA from 1 species